UACGAGGGGGGCGAGCGUUGUUCGGAAUUAUUGGGCGUAAAGGGCGCGUAGGCGGUCGGAUAAGUCUUGUGUGAAAUCUUCGGGCUCAACUCGAAGUCUGCACAGGAAACUAUCUGGCUUGAGUGUGGGAGAGGUGAGUGGAAUUCCUGGUGUAGCGGUGAAAUGCGUAGAUAUCAGGAGGAACACCUGUGGCGAAAGCGGCUCACUGGGCCACAACUGACGCUGAGGCGCGAAAGCUAGGGGAGCAAACAGG
rnacentral:rRNA from 1 species